ACUGCGCGCUUUAAAUGAGGUUUGCGAGCGCGUAACCGUCCCAGUCCGUCUGCAGCACUGAGGCACCAAUGUGUCUUGCUGGCUUCACGUGAAGGAUAAUGCAGGCCAAGAGCCCCACUUCCGGCUCUUGGUCACGUGGUUAUUACCAGCGUGGGAGGUGGGACUCGCGCCCUUUUUCUGUAGAAGACCUGAGCCCCAUUCACUCCAAUGGAAAAUUGUAUGAUCAGCCAACAGCAGAAAGGUGAAUUAGAUGACCUGAAGCUGCACAUCCACUUGUGUACAUGAAGUGUAAUCCUUUGUUACAUUACGUGAGCGAGGCCUGCACCAUCAUGGUAUUUGGGAACAUCAUGAACCUGCAGCUCCGCUGACAUCCAGAUGGUUCCAGGACUUGCUUUUCUUUCUAAGGAUGGAAAACUGAUCCUGAGGCCCAGUGGGUGGGUGUUCCAACACUUUUUUUUUUUUUUUUUUUUUUUUCCAAGGUUGUAAAACUGAGAUCAUGUCAUGAAGCAUCUUUGAAUGGGCUCAAGGGGAGGUGCACAAGGGCUAUCAUGGAUUGCUAUAACUUUCAAGCUGAGGUGUUGAUUGGUGGUCAAGUUGCAGUCAGAUUAAUGGGAGGGAUAGCAGUGUGACCAUUGGCGGAUUUAAGGUGGCCACCCUGCUUGACCCCCGGGGGUGUGAAGGUGUUCCAGGAAUGUUACACUGCAUGUGUGCACACACGGGCCUUGUUUUUCUGACUGAAGUCCUUAACGAGGCUGGUAAAAUCCAAUUUGCUGGCAUGCCAUCACCAGUUGGAAACAGUGCAGUUUCCUUAUAAACUGCAGCAGUGACCAUGCCGUAUUCUCAUUUUCUCCAAGUUCUCUGAAUUGUCUCAAUUUUGUCCCUUUAAAAUCUUCCUCCAGCUGCAUAUAUCUUAUGGAGUUUAGCUGCGCCUGGGUGAAGAUCUAGUCUGGGGAAGGAUGGAACAUCAUUCAAAAAUGCAAACACCUGUGGAAGUGAUGCUGCCGAUGCAGUUGUUUCAACUGUAGCUGUAGGCAUGAUCUAGUUGAUUAGAUCAGGGGUUCCUAAACUUUUCCAGUGCAAGGCCCCCUUCAGUCAAAUGUUAAUGGCAUUAACAUUUGACUGAGGCCCCCCUUUUGCAAGAUGUCUUUAAAACACAUUAAAAAUCCAGAUUUUGGAAUAUUAAUUUAAAAAAGGGGAUAUGAUCAUCUCACAUCAUUUACAUUAGAGGUGAGUGUGUGUGUGUGUGUGUGUUGAGUGAGAAUUUAUUUUUCACACCAAAUUGGUGAGGACCCCUGGUUUGAAAACCACUGGAUUAAAUUCAGUAGCCUUGCAAUAUCCAGUCAAUUUAGGGGUUUUCACUUUUGUACAUAUCCAUGCCCAUAUAUUGACUUUUAUGAUGAGUACAUUUGGGUGUAUAUCUUAAAUUGCUGGAUGUAGACUGUAAUAGAGCCUUUUGAAUUCUCUUGUGUUGAAACUGUGAAAUAAGCUGAUGUUCAGGAUGGUAUAUGACUCAAAGGAUCUGUGUAAUGAACCAUUUAGACCCAAGGUACUUGUAAAAAGUCAAUUUUUAAAAAAAAAAUGUAUUUAUCAAAAAAUAACAACCUUAUCAUGCUGCAUUUAAGAGUGAUUCAAAUGCUAUUGCACCAUGCUGAUGUACUGUAGAUUUGCACAGAAUAAAGGAAACGUUUCACAUUUUGAUUCAGCAGCUUCUUUUCUAGAUAAAAGCAUUUUAGGAGAGCAGUGUACCAGAUCGAUCUAUCUCCCUAUAAACUGUUCCUGGACUGGCUGGGUUGAAGGAAAGCUUUGAUCAUCUGGAUUAUUGUGCAUGAGGUCUACGUCUUUUCACAACGUAGACGCUCGCUCCAAUGAUGCUUUCAAGGACUAAUCCAAAGAGUGUGACCUGUACAGGAACUUCAUUGCAGUUGUUGGUUAAUAGUUGUAGCCCUGUUAAAUAAUUUGAUUAAUUAUUAGGAAAGCUGUAGACUGAGAAACUGUGAACACUAAAGGAUUUAGGUGUCAGUUUAGUCUGACAUGAAUGGAGACUGACUAUACACCAGUACAAACAGUACAAGUACAGUGUUUGAAUAAGGGAUGAAUUUACCUUCUUUCAGUGAAACAGCUCGUGGUUCUCCUUCCUGAGAUUCAUCAUGGAUGUGAGACUGAUAAAAUCUUGCAUCAGACUGGUGAACUGAACUGAUGUGACGGGAGAGAUCACCAUCUAGGAAGCCUUCUGCUGACAUCAUAAAUCUGCCUGGUGAUGCUUCCUCAGUAGUCACCGAUCUAUUUUCCUGAGUGUACAGCAGAAGUGUUCGUCUAGCUUUCUUCCAUUUUAUAUCUUUAACACCUCGCCGAGUGUCUCCGUAGCAGGGGAGGGUGACAUUCUCCCCCUCAAAAGCCUUAACAU